AGUGAACGCUGGCGGUAGGCCUAACACAUGCAAGUCGAACGGCAGCACAGUAAGAGCUUGCUCUUACGGGUGGCGAGUGGCGGACGGGUGAGGAAUACAUCGGAAUCUACUUUUUCGUGGGGGAUAACGUAGGGAAACUUACGCUAAUACCGCAUACGACCUACGGGUGAAAGCAGGGGAUCUUCGGACCAUGCGGGAUUGAAUGAGCGGAUGUCGGAUUAGCUAGUUGGCGGGGUAAAGGCCCACCAAGGCGAGGAUCGGUAGCUGGUCUGAGAGGAUGAUCAGCCACACUGGAGCUGAGACACGGCCCAGACUCCUACGGGAGGCAGCAGUGGGGAAUAUUGGACAAUGGGCGCAAGCCUGAUCCAGCCAUACCGCGUGGGUGAAGAAGGCCUUCGGGUUGUAAAGCCCUUUUGUUGGGAAAGAAAAGCAGCAGGUUAAUACCCCGCUGUUCUGACGGUACCCAAAGAAUAGGCACCGGCUAACUUCGUG
rnacentral:rRNA from 1 species